CAACAUUCAAAACAUCUGGUUGCGAAAUAGGACCAGGUUGCUGUUGUGGAUGGUCAUGACUAUGGAUGGAAGAAACAGGUUCUAUAGUAAUGACAUUCGGUUGCGAAAUGAGAACAGUUUGCUGUUGUUGGUCAUGAUCAUUUAAAACAGAAGGUUGCUUCUCGAUUUCAACAGGCCCCGCUGCAUGUUUAACAUCCAUAGCAUCAGGUUGCGAAAUAAGAACAGUUUGCUGUUGUUGAUCAGGAUGAUUUGAAGCAGAAGGUUGCUUCUCAAUUUCAACAGGCUUCGCUGCAUGUUUAACAUCCAUAGCAUCAGGUUGAGAAAUAAGAACAGUCUGCUGUUGUUGAUCAGGAUGAUUUGAAGCAGAAGGUUGCUUCUCAAUUUCAACAGGCUUCGCUGCAUGUUUAACAUUCAUAGCAUCAGGUUGCGAAAUAAGAACAGUUUGCUGUUGUUGAUCAGGAUGAUUUGAAGCAGAAGGUUGCUUCUCAAUUUCAACAGGCGACUCUUCUUGUUCAAUAUUCAUAACAUCCGGUUGCAAGAUAGGAAAAGUUUGCUGCUGUUGGUCAUAAUGGUUUGAAGCAGAAGGUUGCUUCUCAAUUUCAACAGACGACUCUGCUUGUUCAAUAUUCAUAACAUCCGGUUGCGAAAUAGGAAAAGUUUGCUGCUGUUGGUCAUGAUGGUUUGAAGCAGAAGGUUGCUUCUUAAUCUGAAUAGACUCAGCUGCAUGUCCAAUAUUCAUAACAUCUGGUUUCAGUAGUGUUGAUGCAAAUGUUUCAACUUUUUCUUCUUCAGUUGAUGUGGAAUCAGAGUUUUUUUGCUGCUGGUGAUGAUGAUAGAUUGAGAUAACAGGUUCUUCCCCAACUUGAACAGCUUCUUUUAUUUGUUCAAC
rnacentral:lncRNA from 1 species